CCUCCCUAGAGGUAUUGCAGUUUUGAUUGCUGUAUCACAUGAGUGUCAGUAGGUGGCAGAGUGAAAAGAGGCUACAUCAAAGCUUAGUGUUCUGACCUGUGGACAUCUGAAUGAUUACUGGCCUAACAUU